GCCUAGUUAGCUUAGUUGGUAGCGCGUCUGCCUUCUAAGCGCUAGGCCGCGGGUUCGAUUCCCGCCCGGGGUG
rnacentral:tRNA from 1 species